AGAAAGGGAGAAUAGCGAUUGUUCCUCCCCAAAUAAGGGCACACGAGACGAUUUCUCGUCUGCUUCACAGUCGCCAAAAGCUGGAACUCGCCAUCGUCGUUUCUUCCUCUAUGGAAGAUUGUUGUUCUAUCUGUAAUUCGUCGAUCUCGUCGUUGUUAAAAUUGGGGAACUCUUUGUUGCUAGGUUCUAUCUUGCAUACGUUUCUCAACUCCAAAUCGCCUCAUCUCAACAUCAGUCAUCCAUAGAGACAAGAGAUUAUUCACGCUGAAAUCGUUCAAAAUUGUGGUCGAGUCCAGAUUCAGUUAAGAGCUGCAGCCUGCAGUCACGAGUGGAGAAGAAGGUAGCAAUCUCUUUUGUGAUUUGAAUGAAGGAAUACAUAGGAUUAAGAGUGAAGUAGUACCACGUGAGGAAGGAGAAGUGAAUACAUAGAACUGUGUCACUGGUGUCCUCAUCUUCACUCCCGAUUUCCUCUUCUUCGUGAGUUGUCACCACAUUUCAGUGCAUAAGCUUCACAUGAUGAUGAAUUGGUGGAAAUAAUAACACUCUUGUCUCCCUAUUUGCAGGUGGAAGGUCAAUAACACAAGAACUAAAAGUAUAACACUCUUGUCUUUUUUGUUAUGAGUUUGCUUCUGUUUUUGCAGGAAGUAGAUUUCGGUUGCUUAAUCAUUGAGUUGUUGACACUACAAAAUCCAUAUUUUGAUUUAUCUGAUGUUCAGAUUCAUGCUCUGUUCUUGUUUGUUGUUCUCCAAGCUAGUUGUGUUCUCCUUCAUGGAUGCUUUGAGGUUUGCCGGAAGCUUUGAGACGGUUGGGAGAAAUGGAAAUGUCAUGGUCAUUGAUGUCUCAGUUGGUUGAAACUGGAAAUGAAGGAGCAGCACUGUGACACAUAGAGUGAAGAGCUUGCUAUAUCAUAUUUGUGUGUGUGUGUGUGUACUGAUCAUAAAAUAUUAAAUAGUGGAAUGUAACUGCUUGUUGUAUCAUAAAAAAAUAAUAGUGUCUACAUGCACAUUAUGUUGGUCUUGUUAUAACAUUGACAGUUUUUAAAUCAGUUAUACA